GCAGUGCACUGGCCCUGACCUGCGACUAUUCAUCCGAUCAUCCGCUGACUACGGAUCAGGAGGUUGGGGGUUCGAGUCCUCCCGAGUGCGCCA
rnacentral:tRNA from 1 species